UGGACUCCCAAGACGAGAGGUGUGGCCGUAUCUCCGAUUUUCAAAAGGGGCCCAUCAUCAGGAUUUCCUGCCAACUCCAAACCAGCCAACCCCCUCAUUGCAUUUGCUUCCCCGACAUGUCUUGCUCAGAGCCCUCAUGACCAGAGGGAGGCAGGGGUCUCUCCCUCUGCCUCAUGGCUAAGAAAACCCCAGCAGGGAAAAAUUCAAACCUGACUCUGCCGAGGAAGGUCCCAGAGCACAGCCACCCCGAUCUCAAUGUGACACUUCUGGAGAAGGAAGACAUCGCCCGAAGAGCCCCGCUCCUGGGAUGCCUGCGGUGACUCUGGGGUCUGAACUGAUGACAGUUACACAGGAGCUACUCUGGCUGCCGCAGGGCUGGGAAGCAAGACCUCCACAUGCAGCCCCACCGCCACCCAGGAUGAUGGCAUGGAACCUGCAGGGUCCAAUUUGGAAAGUCUGUGCAGCAGGUCGAGAAGAGACCCCAGAAGGUCCCCCACCCAGCUGGGGCUCUGUCAAGGGCCCCCUGAUCAUCAACUCCCCUUCCAGACCCAGACCUGCAUGGUCCCAGACGAGGAACCUGGCAGUCCAAGAGGGGAAGAAGUGGGCAAGGUCACACAGCCAGGAGGCCGUGGAACCAGGAUCAGAUCCAGAUCAGCAAGAUGCUGUCCCAGCACCAAACACCUCCUUUUUGUGGCUGCCACCGGGAAUAACACCUGCCACACAGCGGUCAGGAGCUGUGCUGGGCUCUUUCCAUGUACUACUACUCGGUCAUCCUCACCAAAGCCCCCUGAGACAGAUGCCAGAUUAGCCCCAUUGUACAGAUGAGGAAACUGAGGCACAGAGAGGGGAAAAUACAUAGAUUUCAAGAGGGUGCAGAGCCUCAAAGUCCUCCCUGGCUUGAAUGCCUGUGCUAACGGGGCCCUGAUCUCUCACCCCUGCCCUCACUCCAGCCAGAGGAAGCCUCUUCCAUCCCCUCCACGCCUGUGUGUCCCCAGGCGAGACACUGAACCACUCUGUGCCUGUUCCCCCAUCUCCAAAUGGGAACAAGACAGUCCUCUGUCCCUGUCUGGUGUUUAUAAGUAUUAAAUGAGAAACUGUAAAGCUCUUCAGAGAGUGCCUGGCACACAACAGACACUCCAUAAACGAUGACCAUCGUGAAAAUCA